UUUAAACAGAACUAAAAAUACUUAAAUAAAUAAAACCUUUAAACGGAACUGCCACCAGCAUCAAAAUGUUACGUGUCCGGUUGUCAGAAUCGAUAUUCCAACAGCGGACUCAAGCUCUACAGAAUUCCGACAGGAUCACGACCGAUUCAGAGCAACCGGCUGCGUCUAUGGCUGCAAGCUGCUAUUAAACGUGGACUGAGGACACGAUACAACUGCUCGUGUUUGUAGCGCCCAUUUUAUAUCAGUUAAAGUUAUCUAUCUACUAUUUUAAUUCACUGGGAAGCCUGGUUUACAAAAACAAUUGUCUCUAAAAUGUAGAUUACUAAUUUAAUGUAGCUAAAGUUUGAUUACCAGCGUUGUUAGAUUUGGCUAGUAAACAAACACGUGUGUUGUGGGCGUAUUCCAGAAAGCAGGUUGAACAAACUCUGAGCCUAACCCUGAACUUUGAGUAGGUGAACCCUGAGAUGGGAAAUUUCGGUUCCAGAGUAGCUGAGUUAGUUCAAUCAACUCUGAGUAUGUUCACUCUGAGUUAAAGCAACAUUAUGAUUAUGUAACUAUUUUAUCUUAAAAUAACAGCUUCAAAAUAAUUUUGGUGGUACACUGACUUGUAUAACUUGUAAUAUGUAACUUUGGUGGACAGGGUGUGACAAAUAGUACCUUCUUGCUUUUUCUAUGUGUAAAAUGGUUACUGGUUCUUACUUAUGAAAAUGUUUGAAGUAAAUGGGAUGAAUCCCUUUUUUCAUUUUGAGGACAUUUCUAUCACACUUUAGAGCUUCUGAUUUUUAUUGAAGAACGAAAAUGAGUGAAAGAUCUGUUGUCUGCCGAAUUGAACAGAUCAGGCCUCAAUUAACAACUUCAGCAUACAGAGAUCCUCCACCUGAAGAAUGGCACCUAUCUUCCUGCCAUCACUAGACACUUGAUUUCUCACACCUAAAUGAAGAAUUUAAAAAGAAGCAACACACUGUAAAAUGUUAUAACAAUAUACCUGUACACGGUAAUAGUUUUCUAAUGUGGUCUAAUAGUUUUCUAAUGAGAAAACCCAUUCAUAGGGAUUUUUUUCUUUGGAACCAGGAUGUAUUAAAAUACUAACACUAAAAACGACACACUUCCAGUCGACUUGUUUACUCUAGCAGCGUUACACCAUCGUAAAUACGACAUCCAGUUUAUGGCCAUGGCAGCUUUUGAUAAGGAGCUUUCGCGGACAAUUGCUGAGCCAUAAGACAUGAGAAAACAAUAAGAAGACAUAAGAAAACAAUGUAGUGCUACUUUGCUCCCCUCUCACCUGACACAUGUGUUGCAACUUUUGGAUAAAGCAAUGUUUGGGGAGAUAAAGAAACAGUGGCAUAAGAAACUUUGUUGCCAUGCGAGGGCUAUCAGAGGCCAAAUCAGGAAGGAGGAUUAUCCACAGAAGUUAAAAGACCUGUUGGACAUUGACUUAAAGACUAAAAACCUUAGAAGUGGAUUUGAAAGCAGAGGGAUUUAUCCAUUUGCCCCACAGCAUGUCAUAGAGGGGACGGAGAGCAACACAGUACAAAGAAGGCAUUUGGGCAUUCAACAGUUCCUUGAUAAAACAUUCAAAGCCAAAAACCUACUUCAAAAUGCUUUUCAGGUGGAAAAUAUGCAUCUAUUUUGUUGUAUUGAAUGCUAAAACUGACCAGUAGCUGAGGUGAAAGACACUGCAAUACCAUUAAUUACUACUGUGGCUCAUAAAGAUGUACAAAAUAUGUUAUUAAAUUAUACUUCUGUCAUCAUUAAAGACAAGACAUGUUAA